rnacentral:rRNA from 1 species
GACGAACGCUGGCGGCGUGCCUAAUACAUGCAAGUAGAACGCACAGUAUAUACCGUAGCUUGCUACACCAUAGACUGUGAGUUGCGAACGGGCGAGUAACGCGUAGGUAACCUGCCUGGUAGCGGGGGAUAACUAUUGGAAACGAUAGCUAAUACCGCAUAAUAUUAAUUAUUGCAUGAUAAUUGAUUGAAAGAUGCAACUGCAUCACUACCAGAUGGACCUGCGUUGUAUUAGCUAGUAGGUGAGGUAACGGCUCACCUAGGCGACGAUACAUAGCCGACCUGAGAGGGUGAUCGGCCACACUGGGACUGAGACACGGCCCAGACUCCUACGGGAGGCAGCAGUAGGGAAUCUUCGGCAAUGGACGAAAGUCUGACCGAGCAACGCCGCGUGAGUGAAGAAGGUUUUCGGAUCGUAAAGCUCUGUUGUAAGAGAAGAACGGGUGUGAGAGUGGAAAGUUCGCACUGUGACGGUAUCUUACCAGAAAGGGACGGCUAACUACGUGCCAGCAGCCGCGGUAAUACGUAGGUCCCGAGCGUUGUCCGGAUUUAUUGGGCGUAAAGCGAGCGCAGGCGGUUAGAUAAGUCUGAAGUUAAAGGCUGUGGCUUAACCAUAGUACGCUUUGGAAACUGUUUAACUUGAGUGCAGAAGGGGAGAGUGGAAUUCCAUGUGUAGCGGUGAAAUGCGUAGAUAUAUGGAGGAACACCGGUGGCGAAAGCGGCUCUCUGGUCUGUAACUGACGCUGAGGCUCGAAAGCGUGGGGAGCGAACAGG